rnacentral:rRNA from 1 species
UUGUUGGUAAGGUAAAAGCUUACCAAGGCUUCGAUCAGUAGCUGGUCUGAGAGGACGACCAGCCACACUGGGACUGAGACACGGCCCAGACUCCUACGGGAGGCAGCAGUGGGGAAUUUUGGACAAUGGGGGCAACCCUGAUCCAGCCAUGCCGCGUGAGUGAAGAAGGCCUUCGGGUUGUAAAGCUCUUUCAGCCGGAACGAAACGGUUACGGUUAACACCCGUGACUACUGACGGUACCGGAAGAAGAAGCACCGGCUAACUACGUGCCAGCAGCCGCGGUAAUACGUAGGGUGCGAGCGUUAAUCGGAAUUACUAGGCGUAAAGCGUGCGCAGGUGGUUUUGUAAGUCAGAUGUGAAAGCCCCGGGCUCAACCUGGGAACUGCGUUUGAAACUACAAGACUAGAGUGUGGCAGAGGGGGGUGGAAUUCCGCGUGUAGCAGUGAAAUGCGUAGAGAUGUGGAGGAACACCGAUGGCGAAGGCAGCCCCCUGGGUCAACACUGACGCUCAGGCACGAAAGCAUGGGGAGCAAACAGGAUUAGAUACCCUGGUAGUCCAUGCCCUAAACGAUGUCAACUAGUUGUCGGGCCUUUACGGGCUUGGUAACGUAGCUAACGCGUGAAGUUGACCGCCUGGGGAGUACGAUCGCAAGAUUAAAACUCAAAUGAAUUGACGGGGACCCGCACAAGCGGUGGAUUAUGUGGAUUAAUUCGAUGCAACGCGAAAAACCUUACCUACCCUUGACAUGUAUCGAAGCCCGCAGAAAAGCGGGGGUGCCCGAAAGGGAACGAUAACACAGGUGCUGCAUGGCUGCCGUCAGCUCGUGUCGUGAGAUGUUGGGUUAAGUCCCGCAACGAGCGCAACCCUUGUCAUUAAUUGCCAUCAUUUAGUUGGGCACUUUAAUGAGACUGCCGG